GAGUUGGCAUCCCCCCCCCAGUUCACACUGUGGGGCUUCCUGGUGGGCAGGGGACCCCUGGUAGAGAGUUACCUUCUUGGGAAGGAUGAUUAAAGCCAGAGAAUCACCGCUGGGAUGAAGUUCACCAGUGCUAUGUACCAGGCUGACGUACAGGUUGCCGCAUUCAAUUCUUAAGCAACUGUGGGCAACAGGUGCUAUUGUCCUCAGUUUACAAGUGAGACCACGGACACCCAGAGAAGCUAAGGAACUUUCCCCUCCUAGGUGGAGACGUCGGAUUCCGGCGCUGGAGAAAUGGACCCAUGCUAUAACUUCAGGAAGAAUUUGAGGGCCACAGACGGUAACAUCUUCCCCAUGGAAUGGAAACAAGCUUGCCUUAUCUGCUCCUGCAGGCUGGCAGCCCUCUGUUUACCAAUGCGGUGGCUCGCUCUUGAACUUGCCUGCCUUUCUGCUUGGGAAAAGUGGUGGCUGUAGAGUUUUUAUUUUUCAAACUCCCUGGGACGGACCUUGGCCCGGGGUAUUUUGUGCUCGACGCUUGGAAGAAAAUACGCAAAUUCACGUCCUUGAGUCUCUGUUGCCACCACACUGGGCGUUGAACUCGACCCCGGGGUACAUCCUGGGGAAGAAGGUCCACAGCCCGGGGAAGGCAAUCAGCGCAUGAAUCCAGCCUUGGGCUCCAACCCCUAGACUGGAAUAUUUCCUAUGAGUUCUUGAAUACAACUGGGAAUAGUCUUA